AUUUUGCCUAGAUUCCAGCACUUCACCCUCCAGUGAUCCUAUCACUAGGCAAUUCAACACAAGUAGCUAACAUUUACAACAGAAAUUUGAAAUUUUCUGUAUAUUUCCCAUGAAACUUCAAACAACAGUUAUAUGCUAAUUUGAAAAAAAACAUUAUGGCUCAUCUACAACUGCAUAAACCUAGUUAACGACAAUUAGAAGUCUAUGUUAUCAUGAAUAAGAAACAGUCAAUAAAAUCUAGAGAGGCAUUAGUCAUAGAUAAUAAGAAGAUAUACAUGAAAAGAAUUCGUUCCAUAGAAUAGUGCAUUCAAAGUAUGUUGUCUAGCAAAUUGAAUGGGAAAGAUAAUGGAUGAAAGUUAGCCACCUUACUGCUUAUUAUUUUAAGACAUGGAAAGAAUAAGAAUGUUAGGUGUCUGAUUCAAACGGUUAGAGCACUGGGCAUUCACUAAGAGACUUGAUGAUUCCUUAAUACAUAGACAGCUAUGAAGGGGAAGGAAAUGAAAGAGAAUUCACUCAAUAUUUUGAACCUAAAGUUCCAUAUGGUUCCUUCUACCUAGCAGUGGUGUCUAAAAUGGCAGCCAUUGUGGACAGAAAGGUCAAGUUUAUCUCUGGAGGUGCAAAUAAACUAGAUGAGGUGUGAAUCUGACACAAUCCUUACUGGACCUAGUUUGCCUUUAGUUCUGAAUCUAGAUAAUUUAGUUAAAUGGUUCAAAUUCAAUUUGCAACUAAUUAGGUUGAUAUGGAAAAUCUAAAUUAAUGGAAAAAAACCCAACCAUUUUGAACUAGUUUGGUCCUAGCCAAGUAAUCUAUAGUGUUCAUGUCAAGUGCAGUUUUGCAGUUUAGCAAACAUAUGACCAAUGUGAUUGAAGAAUUGAAUCUAGGUUUGGAAGUCAUAUAGACAGCUAAUUAAUCCAUCUUUUUUUAAUCUAGGUCAAGUCUAAGUUAGAUCAGUUAUAGUUGAAUUUAGGGGUCUACCAAACCCAACCUCAACAACUCGGCAAGUAUUGGGAGUUGAACUCAUCAUAUACCAAGGUCAAACCUCUCAGUGGAACUAGGAUACGUCUCAUGGUAAAUAGAACCAACUAGACAGGUUAUAGUGGAAAGUGAAACUGCAUCACACAUUUUUGUUUUAUAAAAUAAAAAAAAAAAAAAGUCAUGGGGCUGCAUAAAGGGGCCUUUUAUAUUUAUAUCUCAUUUUUAGUGAACUGAAAUAAUAGAUAGUUCCAAUAGCAUACACUGCAUGAAAAAGGCGAUUCAAGUAGCUAAUCAAGAUACAAGGAGUGAAUCAGAGAGCAAGUUUUGCAUGUCUUCUAAAGUUUCAAAAUUUUUUAUAGCUAAACAAAGAUUUCCCCUCUACCCUCCAUGGGAAAAAAAGGACUCAACUAGCAAGCCUAUUUGUUUCUCUUGCUAGAAAAUAUACUAGAACUUGUACCCAUAUUUUCUUAACACUGGAAUUUCAUAAUGUAGUCCAUGUGAUCCUAAAACCAUGACCAUCUUGUUGACCUGCAAAAUCCUUGUAUUCAAAAGCUCAUGACCCUCAUCGUAUGUAAGUUAAAAUCCCCCAAUCAUUUAAAUACUGAAAUUCAAUAAUUAAGUCCAUCUAACCCUAAAGCCAACCAUAUUCCUGAGCUGCAAUAUCCUUGCAUUCAAAAGCUCAUGACCCUCAUCAUACGUAAUUUAAAAUCCUCAUCUCAAAGAUAACUUUUCCAUGUCGUUCAGACUGAUUGAGGUGCAGUUGGAUGCCUGACUAGGCGAUCCCCAUAAAACAUCCACAUUGGUGAAAUUCAGCUGAAAAGAAGAAAUCGAUGAGCCUGAUUAGCCCUGUAAUCCCAAGAGGAUAGCCAAAACUAUUUAAGAUGCCAAUCCUCGGUGCCCAGAAACCCAUGAAGUAGCAGGAUUGAUCCGACAACUUGGUUUUCCCAUUUUCUUCCUUCCCUUGGCUCCUCUCUCUAUCCGGUCCCCUCCUUGGGUUGAUAUUCAUCCAACAUGGAAGCCAAGCAUCAAAACAGGCCCUUAAUGAAUUUCAUAGCUAAUAUUUCCAUUCUAUAAUUUCUGGAUGUGUUCACAGCACCAUAAUUUAUCAUGACCAAAGGAAGAACGCACUCAUUGCUAUUUAUCACCUAUCAAAUUCCAAUUUUUAUUUAUGCAUUGGAGAAAACAAUUAUAAAAUUAAAGACUCCAUGUUUUCAGCUAUUAAAUUUUAGUUUUCUUGGUGAUCCUCUGAGAUCAUCAGCGUAUUUACCAUCCACAGACAAGCAAAUACACAGCAUCCUGCCGAGACCAUUAUAGGUCGAGUCACGGCAUCCGCAUGAUGUUAGGCAUGAACACUUCGAAAUCUAACCAAACGAUGAAAACAUUCAACCAUGAAAACGUUUUCUAUCCAAAAAGGGAGAGUCUGGGCGUGGUCGAACAGCCUAAAAAAAUUCACGUGACAAGCAUGGAGACAGAGAUUUUUGGGGGCAAAAAUAUAAACCCUAAACAUAGUCUAAAACGUCGCAGUCAUUUAGUAGUUCAUUUCAAGUAACGAAUUUUCAAAAUUCCAUGGGCAAAAAAAAAAAAUCAAACAGCGAGCUUAGAAUUUUAAAAAAUAAAACAGCAAUUCAAUGCAUCGAAGAUCAAAAGAGACAAAAAAUCAAGAAUUCAUAGUCUUGAUAACUUUAUGUGUACGAAUUGAAGGGAGAGAUAAAUUACAGAUAAGAAUAUGGAGGGCAGAAGAGAGAGUACCGCUCGGUGAGAGAGGAUCGCGUCAAAUCUCUUAUCUCCGGCGCGGAAGCGAAGAAACUAAAAGCGUGGUUCUGGGGCAGGGGAUUUUGGGGAAGAUUUGACGAUGGAUGGGAGCAUGGUAACCCCUUACCGGUACAUGUCACGAACCGAACCGGCAUGAUUCCAAAUCGGACCAGUUUGUACCGGAACUGGC
rnacentral:lncRNA from 1 species